rnacentral:rRNA from 1 species
AUGGGGAACUGCUGCUGUGACGAGAUGGGCGCCGGCCGCCACUCCGUCGGCCACGCCGCCUCCUCCGCCGAUGCCGCUUCCACCGUGGCUGAUCGCUUCCUCCGCUCCCGCGGCGCCGGCGCGUCCACGCAGAUCGAGUUAUCUCUCUCCGCAUCAAAUUUGGGCGAUCAAGAAUAUUUCUUCAAGAGCAAUCCCAUAGUCGUCGUGUAUUCGAGCAAUGACGGAGCACUUGAAGAAAUUGGGCGCACUGAAGUUAUUGUAAAUUCAUCGAGCCCGUCAUGGAAUGCAAAGAUCAUUUUGCAAUACCAGUUUGAAGUUCUUCAGCCAUUGGUGUUUCAUAUUUAUGAUAUUGAUCCGCAGUUUCAUGAAGUCGGUGAAAAGAUGCUUAAACUGGAGGAGCAACAGUUUCUUGGAGAAGCCAUCUGUAAUUUAUCCGAUGUUAUCACCAAACAGAAUAGAUUGUUCACCCUAAAGCUUGGUGUUUCUGAGCACAACUUACCAAAUCCUAGUAAAUUUGGUGAGUUAACUGUUCAGGCCGAAGAAAGUGCUGGUUCAAAAGCAUUAAUGGAAAUGGUAUUCCACUGUUCAGAUCUUGAAAUCAAGGAUCUUCUUUCAAAAAGUGAUCCUUUCUUGCUAAUAUCCAGAAUGUCAGAGAACGGAACACCUGUUCCAAUUUGCAAGACAGAAGUAAGGAAGAAUGAUCUCAAUCCUAAGUGGAAGCCAGUGAUUAUGAAUCUCCAACAGGUCGGAAGUAAGGAGAAUCUCCUCAUGAUAGAAUGCUUCAACUUCAGUAGCAAUGGCAAACAUGACCUAGUUGGCAAGAUAGUAAAAUCAGUCGCCGAAUUGGAAAACAUGUACCAUAGUGGGAAUGGUGAAAAUUUCUUUGUUCCUGCCAGCAAUGCACAUGAUUGUCAUAGUAAGGAGGUAUUGAAGAGCCAGGUAUAUGUGGAGAAAUAUCUUGAGAAUAGUAGACAUACUUUUAUCGAUUAUAUUUCUGCUGGGUGUCAAUUGAAUUUGAUGGUAGCCAUCGACUACACAGCUUCAAAUGGAAACCCUCGGCUUCCAGAUUCCUUGCAUUAUAUUGACCCCUCCGGACGGCCAAAUGCGUAUCAAAGAGUAAUACUGGAGAUUGGAGAUAUACUACAGUACUAUGACCCAGCUAAGCGUAUCCCCUCUUGGGGCUAUGGGGCAAGACCUAUUGACGGUCCUGUUUCACACUGUUUCAACUUAAAUGGCAGCACUUAUCAGCCUGAGGUUGAGGGAAUACAGGGAAUUAUGUCAGCUUAUAUCAGUGCGCUACGCAAUGUGUCAUUGGCUGGUCCUACACUCUUUGGUCCUCUACUUAGCACGGCUACAGCAAUAGCAAGCCAAUCCCUUACAAACAACCAACAGAAAUACUUUAUUCUGUUAAUAGUGACGGAUGGUGUAGUGACUGAUUUUCAGGAGACUAUUGAUGCAAUUAUAAAGGCAUCCGAUUUUCCUUUGUCCAUCAUUGUUGUUGGAGUUGGUGGGGCUGACUUCAAGGAAAUGGAGUUUCUGGAUCCAAAUAAAGGGGGAAGAUUGGAAAGCUCAACGGGGAGAGUUGCAUCAAGGGAUGUGAUACAGUUCGCCCCAAUGAAAGAUGUGCAUGGUACUGGGAUAUCCAUAGUUCAGUCACUUCUUGCUGAAAUACCUGGGCAGUUCAUGACUUACAUGAGAACAAGAGAAAUUCAAGCAAUUAGUUAA